rnacentral:rRNA from 1 species
GGGUGAGUAAUGCAUCGGAACGUGCCAUUGAGUGGGGGAUAACGUAGCGAAAGUUGCGCUAAUACCGCAUAUUCUGUGAGCAGGAAAGCAGGGGACCGCAAGGCCUUGCGCUCUUUGAGCGGCCGAUGUCAGAUUAGCUAGUUGGUGAGGUAAAGGCUUACCAAGGCGACGAUCAGUAGCGGGUCUGAGAGGAUGAUCCGCCACACUGGAACUGAGACACGGUCCAGACUCCUACGGGAGGCAGCAGUGGGGAAUUUUGGACAAUGGGGGCAACCCUGAUCCAGCCAUGCCGCGUGAGUGAAGAAGGCCUUCGGGUUGUAAAGCUCUUUCGGCCGGGAAGAAAUCGCAUGGGCCAAUACCCUGUGUGGAUGACGGUACCGGAAUAAGAAGCACCGGCUAACUACGUGCCAGCAGCCGCGGUAAUACGUAGGGUGCGAGCGUUAAUCGGAAUUACUGGGCGUAAAGCGUGCGCAGGCGGUUUUGUAAGACAGGCGUGAAAUCCCCGGGCUUAACCUGGGAACUGCGUUUGUGACUGCAAGGCUAGAGUACGGCAGAGGGGGGUGGAAUUCCACGUGUAGCAGUGAAAUGCGUAGAGAUGUGGAGGAACACCAAUGGCGAAGGCAGCCCCCUGGGUCGAUACUGACGCUCAUGCACGAAAGCGUGGGUAGCAAACAGGAUUAGAUACCCUGGUAGUCACGCCCUAAACUAUGUCAACUAGGUGUUGGGUGGGUAAAACCAUUUAGUACCGUAGCUAACGCGUGAAGUUGACCGCCUGGGGAGUACGGCCGCAAGGUUAAAACUCAAAGGAAUUGACGGGGACCCGCACAAGCGGUGGAUGAUGUGGAUUAAUUCGAUGCAACGCGAAAAACCUUACCUACCCUUGACAUGCCAGGAACUUGCCAGAGAUGGCUUGGUGCCCGAAAGGGAGCCUGGACACAGGUGCUGCAUGGCUGUCGUCAGCUCGUGUCGUGAGAUGUUGGGUUAAGUCCCGCAACGAGCGCAACCCUUGUCGUUAAUUGCCAUCAUUUGGUUGGGCACUUUAACGAGACUGCCGGUGACAAACCGGAGGAAGGUGGGGAUGACGUCAAGUCCUCAUGGCCCUUAUGGGUAGGGCUUCACACGUCAUACAAUGGUCGGUACAAAGGGUUGCCAAGCCGCGAGGCGGAGCCAAUCCCAGAAAGCCGAUCGUAGUCCGGAUUGCAGGCUGCAACUCGCCUGCAUGAAGUCGGAAUCGCUAGUAAUCGUGGAUCAGCAUGUCACGGUGAAUACGUUCCCGGGUCUUGUACACACCGCCCGUCACACCAUGGGAGCGGGUUCCGCCAGAAGUAGGUAGCCUAACCGCAAGGGGGGCGCUUACCACGGCGGGGUCAGCGACUGGGGUGAAGUCGUAACAAGGUA